UAGGGAAUCUUCCACAAUGGACGCAAGUCUGAUGGAGCGAACGCCGCGUGAGUGAAGAAGGGUUUCGGCUCGUAAAGCUCUGUUGUUAAAGAAGAACGUGGGUAAGAGUAACUGUUUACCCAGUGACGGUAUUUAACCAGAAAGCCACGGCUAACUACGUGUCAG
rnacentral:rRNA from 1 species